rnacentral:rRNA from 1 species
UGGGGAAUAUUGGACAAUGGGCGAAAGCCUGAUCCAGCAAUGCCGCGUGAGUGAAGAAGGCCUUAGGGUUGUAAAGCUCUUUUAGUAGGGAAGAUAAUGACGGUACCUACAGAAAAAGCACCGGCUAACUUCGUG